UGAUAUUGUAUUGUAUUGUUUUUUUUUUUUUUUUGCUUAGGCUUAUUAUCUCAGAGUUAUGGUCGAUCUACUUUUCUUGCUUGUCUUGUGCACUUGAAAUAUGCCGCUAUUUACCUCCCCUGUAUGAUGAUACAACUUCUAAUCAAUUCAUUUUUUUGUGUGUUUGUGUGUGUGUUUUGGGUGGGUGGUGGUAGGGUUACUACUGGCAUGAGUUAGUCUUAAUUUGGAGCUACAUGGUCGGUGAGGAUUCAUGUAGUAGAGAUUGAAAGUAGUAGUAGUACAGUGUAAAUACUUCUUUAUCACACCAACUGGCUGCUGAAACCCGCAUCUCUUCUGCGUCCUUUAUGCAGGCUGUGGGUGUGAAAGAUGAGGGUAUGCCAGAUCAAUCUGCGAAGAAACCAAAGGGUGGAGGAAAAGGUUCCAACUCUGGUGAAGUGGAAAGUUCAAGCCCUGCAGAACCUAGUAAUGCCAAAGCAACACCAUUUAGUAGCAUAACUACAGAGAAUGCCGAGCCCAGUUGUUCCAACUCAUCUUCACUGUCAGAGCGCAGGAAGCUUCAAACUUGAAGCAGUCGAUCCGUCCAUUGGCCCCAGUUGACGCACCGUUUAUCUUAAAUAGAUACAAACUAGAUAACCGACCCACCACAUUCAAGAUCCUUCCACCUCUGCUAAGUGGUAUGGCAAAUGUUGACGUCCUGAAGGAAUACUUUUCUACAUUUGGUGAUCUUCUUUCUGUUGAGCUGGAAGAUUUAGAACCUCAAGAUUGUCAUAAUGGCUCAGAGGUGCUAAAUACAUCUGCUAGGGUAUCUUUUCGAUCACGCCGGUCUGCUGAAAGAGCAUAUUUGAAUGGUAAAUGCUGGCAAGACCAAACUCUGCAUUUUACGUGGUUGCAAUCCAGUAAUUCUGCAAAGGAUAUUGGUGUUGGAGAAAAUGUCACUCCAGCUUCAAAAGUUGUCUGGCUGGUUUCCAGGAAGGAAGCGGGGCAGGGAAUUGUGAACCUGAAAAUCAAGAAAGAGGAGAAAAAGAAUGAAGAUCCAAGUAAAGCUCAAUUCUGCAUCUGGUUAACAAUUGGCUCAAUUCGAUUGAUCAUGAUGAAGUUCGAAUUUCAGAGUUGUACAGCGAGGUAAAUUUUACAUCUUUUAUAUGUAAUGUCACGAGUUUUAGCGAUUGAUGAAACUCUGUUCCAAUUUUGUUUUCACAUUAUCUGCAAAUGUAAAGAGAAAUCUUUUAUUUUAGACUAUAGAGGGGUUAUUCUUGUUAGUCACUGAAUGCUCAUUAGACCAAAGAUGGGUCAUUCCUGUUGUCAAUGAAUGCUCAGACAGCGCCACCCUUCUUCUGGGUGUUUUAUUUAUUUCAAGUGACUUCCUUUACUUAUACCGGCUUUGCAGCGUUCUAUCAGAAUUAACGUUCCUGUGGUCCUUUCUUUACUACGAGUGUCUUGAAUAAUUUUGAUGUCUCCUAAGCAAGGGCGGCUCAACUCUAGAGCCACUAAAGCAGUGGCUUAUUUUGUAUAAUCUUUUUGAUAAUUAGUACAACUAACAUUUAUCUAUCUCUUAUCAUUUUCUUUGUGAACUGCGUCUUCUUGUAAUUUUUUUGCGUGUUUUGGUCAAGUUAAACCAUGGCAGCAACUCAAUUCACCAAAACCGUUACCUGAGUUUUUGCAGGAUCAGUAUGUGCCUCCAGAUACAUCAAAAAAUUUAAUUGUAUACCUGAUGAACACUAUGUCCAAACUCUGCUUGCUGACUUGAAGUGAAAUUACACGGAGGACAUUGACUCACACUGCAUGGCUUAUUUUGUCCUCCAAGGAGCGUGAACGGAAAGGAUGGCAUCCUGUUACCUAUAAAUUAUCCGAUGCUAAUCCAAUCUUUGAAGGUACUGUUUGUUCUUUUCAAUAAGCAGAUAAGUAGACUAGCCAAGUCUACUGCAGGAAACUCGGUGAUCAUUUGGGAGAAAAAUAUUUCAGAAAAUUACAUAACCAUAUAUCGACAAGAGGAGAAGAUGAUGAAAUAGUAAUCCCACUCAGCAAUUGACCUCCUCUUUGUCAGCAAUUGAAAUGAGAAUGAUUGUCUUAUUAUAUGACCCUGAAUUAUUAGGUGUAAAAUGAUGAAUAUGCACACACCUUAGAAUCUAUUUGGUUUUGACAGGACAUUGACAAUAAGAAUUUUGAAACAGAACACCGGAGAGAGUGGUGCACCACGAAGGAGAAACCUGCCCCUUGUUUCCUUUUUGCAAGGAAAUUCAUUUUGGGUAUGUAGCAAGAAUUGAGAACAUAAAUAUUUGGGAACUUGAAAAGUCCUCUUAUGCUUUAAUGAAAUGGCAUUUGUCCCUCAUCGGUGGUGAAAAGUAAAAUAGGAGAGUUUAAAUAUAGAAACACUCCUAUUAAUUGUUAAAAGGGUUGGAAAGAAGGACCCCCUUGUGUCGUCGUCCCUCACUCGGCCUCGGCUACAGCUAUGACUUUAAUUAUUUAAUUAAUUAUUUAUUAUUUAAAUUAAAUGGACAAAACAACUCCACUCGAAUACUAGAGCGGAAUAAUAUCCUUAAUGGGACACUCUUAAUGGGACACUGUGAGUUCAGUGGACUUGAUCUUUUUCUGUUCAAAUUUUUAUAGAUUCUAGUACACUAUAGAUUUUAUUUCUUUUUAAUUAAUUUAAGUUCAUAUCUCGUACUGAUUCAGUAAACUUUGGUUACUUCGUGUUUCUGCAAAGUUUUAUCAGAAUCAGUAAUUCUGUUUUUCAAACACAGAUUGGGCAAUAAUCUUAAGGGAAUUAUUUAUUAUUAUUAAUGUAUGUUUCUGGUGGACACAAAAAUCUUGAUUUUAUACUCCUUCAGGUAUGCAAUUAUAAGUUAUUGCUUACUAAGAUUGUAUCUAAUUUUUGUUUAUCAAAAAAUGGCAAACAACGCUGUUACAGUGAUUGUUGCUUCACCGACCCGAACUAUUAUACCACAAGCAGAGAAACCGGGUAAAUUCACUAGUGUGAAUUUCAAAGGAUGGCAGCAACGAGUAUUUAUCUGGCUUACUAGUCUUGGUCUGCAGAAAUUUACCAGUGAAGAAACUCCAGUGCCUACUGCUGAUAUGUCAGACAAAAAAAAAUCAUGAUUGAAGCAUGGAAACACGAAGAUUCCUAUGUAAAGGCUACAUUUUGAGUGCUUUAGAUGAUGAGUUAUAUAAUGUCUAUAGUGCAAUAACAACUUCAAAAGAGUUGUGGGAUGCACUUGAGAAGAACUAUAAGACAGAAGAUGCAUGCUUGAAAAUGUUUGUGAUCGCAAAGUUUUUAGAGUAUAAAAUGGUGAUAGUAAAACUGUUGGAUCACAAGUGCUGGACUUCAACUUAUUCUCCGUGAUCUCAUUGCUGAAGAUAUGACAGUAACUGAAGCUUUUCAAGUGGCUGCAAUAAUCGAGAUGUUGCCUCCUUCAUGGAAUGACUUCGAGAAUUAUCUAAAGCACAAGCGUAAAGAAAUGAAGCUUGAAGAUCUUGUUAUUCGGCUCAAGAUUGAGGAAGAUUAAAAAAAUCUCUGAAAAAGAAGUCUCAUAAGAGUUCAACAAUCAUUGGAGUUAAUAUUGUUGAAGAAGCUCCUACCAAAGAUAAAAAGAGAAAGAAGUUUAACGAGCAGAAGUCAGAACAGACCAAGAAGAAAUUCAAAGGCAAGUGUUACAACUGUGGUAAGGCUAGUAAUAGGUCUUCUGAUUGUCGUGCUCCAAGAAAGGACAACGACAAAGGCAAAGGCAAAAGUCAAGCAAACAUCAUGGAAGAGUUGGAAGAUGCAAAUGACUUGUGUGCAAUGAUUUCGGAGUGUAAUGAUAUGAGAAAAAUAUCAUAUAUAUAUUAAGUUGUUAUUUAAUUUUAA